GUUGGUGAGGUAAAGGCUUACCAAGGCAUCGAUCAGUAGCUGGUCUGAGAGGAUGAGCAGCCACACUGGGACUGAGACACGGCCCAGACUCCUACGGGAGGCAGCAGUGGGGAAUUUUCCGCAAUGGGCGAAAGCCUGACGGAGCAAUACCGCGUGAGGGAGGAAGGCCUUUGGGUUGUAAACCUCUUUUCUCAGGGAAGAAGAUCUGACGGUACCUGAGGAAUAAGCAUCGGCUAACUCCGUGCCAGCAGCCGCGGUAAUACGGAGGAUGCAAGCGUUAUCCGGAAUCAUUGGGCGUAAAGCGUCCGCAGGUGGUUUUUCAAGUCUGCUGUUAAAGACUGGAGCUCAACUCCGGAAAGGCAGUGGAAACUGAGAAACUAGAGUUCGGUAGGGGUAGCGGGAAUUCCCAGUGUAGCGGUGAAAUGCGUAGAUAUUGGGAAGAACAUCGGUGGCGAAGGCGCGCUACUGGACCGAAACUGACACUCAGGGACGAAAGCUAGGGUAGCGAAAGGGAUUAGAUACCCCUGUAGUCCUAGCUGUAAACGAUGGAAACUAGGUGUGGCUUGUAUCGACCCGAGCCGUGCCGUAGCUAACGCGUUAAGUUUCCCGCCUGGGGAGUACGCACGCAAGUGUGAAACUCAAAGGAAUUGACGGGGGCCCGCACAAGCGGUGGAGUAUGUGGUUUAAUUCGAUGCAACGCGAAGAACCUUACCAGGGCUUGACAUGUCGCGAAUCUUGGUGAAAGCUGAGAGUGCCUUCGGGAGCGCGAACACAGGUGGUGCAUGGCUGUCGUCAGCUCGUGUCGUGAGACGUUGGGUUAAGUCCCGCAACGAGCGCAACCCUCGUCUUUAGUUGCCAGCAUUAAGUUGGGCACUUUAGAGAGACUGCCGGUGACAAACCGGAGGAAGGUGGGGAUGACGUCAAGUCAGCAUGCCCCUUACGCCCUGGGCUACACACGUACUACAAUGGUUGGGACAAAGGGCAGCAAACCCGCGAGGGUAAGCGAAUCUCAUCAAACCCAGCCUCAGUUCAGAUUGCAGGCUGCAACUCGCCUGCAUGAAGGAGGAAUCGCUAGUAAUCGCAGGUCAGCAUACUGCGGUGAAUUCGUUCCCGGGCCUUGUACACACCGCCCGUCACACCAUGGAAGCUGGUCACGCCCGAAGUAGUUACCCUAACCUUUCGGGGGGGGGGACUCCUAAGGCAGGGCUAGUGACUGGGGUGAAGUCGUAACAAGGUAGCCGUACCGGAAGGUGUGGCUG
rnacentral:rRNA from 1 species